rnacentral:rRNA from 1 species
GAUGAACGCUGGCGGCGUGCCUAACACAUGCAAGUCGAGCGAACAGACGAGGAUCUUGCUCCUCUGACGUUAGCGGCGGACGGGUGAGUAACACGUGGAUAACCUACCUAUAUGACUGGGAUAACUUCGGGAAACCGGAGCUAAUACCGGAUAAUAUAUUGAACCGCAUGGUUCAAUAGUGAAAGACGGUUUUGCUGUCAUUUAUAGAUGGAUCCGCGCCGCAUUAGCUAGUUGGUAAGGUAACGGGUUACCAAGGCAACGAUGCGUAGCCGACGUGAGAGAGUGAUCGGCCACACUGGAACUGGGACACGGUCCAUGCUCCUACGGGAAGGAGCAGAAGAGAAUCUUCCGCAAUAGGCGGAAGCCUGACAGAACAACGCCACGUGAGUGAUGAAGUUGUUCGGGUCGUAAAGCACUGUUAUUAGGGAGAAACAGAUGUGUAAGUAGCUAUACACGUCUUGACGGUACCUAAUCAGGAAGCAGCGGCUAACUACGUG